rnacentral:lncRNA from 1 species
CCUGCUCUGUUUUUGAAUGAACCAUGGAUCACCAGCAAAAACAUAACUUCUGAAUAUGCAGUUAUCGCUUAAACUACAGAAGUCAAUAAACCAGUAUGACUGAAACACAGCUGUAUACCACACUAUCAACCAUCUUUUUUCUUAUUUUUUGGCUGCAAUAUUUCAAUCCAACAUAUCGGAAUCUGCCCUUAUACCUGUUAAAUGAGAUUACGACCAAACCUAGAAUAUUAAUGAUCUCUAAGAUUUUGAUCAUUAACAAAAAAAAAUUGUACAUACAAAAUUUUCUAAUUUCCAUAGAGCAUGCUUAAAUUUAAACCUCUCUCUCAUUUGAAGCCUUGGCAACAACAUCCACCAAACUACAUAGUCUGCUGUUACUAUUGGUAAACAGGUGCUCCUCUUCUUAUCUGAUGAAGUUGGGAGGUAAUGAGUAGAACCAUUGAGAAAGAAGUUUGAUAGAAAAGAGAUCAAAGCAAGUAAUCAGCUCAAUAUUUUACUUAGGAGAUCAAGGAUGGUACACAGUUGUCUUAUGAGGAAGCAUGUGUGCGGAGUUUUUGAUAUGGAAGAGGUAAAAAUAGAAUAUGGAGCCAUGUAGAAAUCAGUAUAUAAUAUAUCAUGCUACAUUCAACAAAAUUUUAUAUAUAGCAUUUUAUAAGGUUCUGCCUGUUUAUUAUAUACGACUCUCAUAGCAUCCCAUAAUAUGAUAUUAGAAUAAGACCUACUACAUUGCACCCUAACAAAAAAUAGCUUUUGUUAGACUCACAUCACCAUUUUCAUCAUUCACUUCUUAUGCGUUUUAUCCAACUAUUUUGUCUCCACAAGUCCUUUAA